rnacentral:rRNA from 1 species
UGAGGAAUAUUGCACAAUGGGGGCAACCCUGAUGCAGCAACGCCGCGUGGAGGAUGAAGGUCUUUGGAUUGUAAACUCCUUUUAUCGGGGAAGAGCAAGGACGGUACCCGAGGAAUAAGUCACGGCUAACUACGUGCCAGCAGCCGCGGUAAUACGUAGGUGGCAAGCGUUAUCCGGAAUUACUGGGCGUAAAGGGCACGCAGGCGGCUGUCAAAGUCUGACGUGAAAGCUCCUGGCUUAACUGGGAGAGGUCGUUGGAAACUGGAUGGCUUGAGGUGAUGAGAGGGGUGCGGAAUUACCGGUGUAGUGGUGGAAUGCGUAGAUAUCGGUAGGAACACCAGUGGCGAAGGCGGCACCCUGGCAUUGACCUGGCGCUCAUGUGCGAAAGCGUGGGGAGCGAACGGGAUUAGAUACCCCGGUAGUCCACGCUGUAAACGAUGAACACUAGGUGUAGGCGGCGUAAAGCAGUCUGUGCCGAAGCAAACGCAAUAAGUCG